AAUCUGCCUUGUUGUGGGGGAUAACGUAGGGAAACUUACGCUAAUACCGCAUAAGACCGUAAGGUGAAAGCGGGGGAUCGUAAGACCUCGCGCGACAAGAUGAGCCGAUGUCGGAUUAGCUAGUUGGUGAGGUAAUGGCUCACCAAGGCGACGAUCCGUAGCUGGUCUGAGAGGAUGAUCAGCCACACUGGAACUGAGACACGGUCCAGACUCCUACGGGAGGCAGCAGUGGGGAAUAUUGGACAAUGGGCGCAAGCCUGAUCCAGCCAUGCCGCGUGGGU
rnacentral:rRNA from 1 species